UUCAGUUGAUCAGCAUAGCCAGGUUCUCUGGCCAGACACAUUUAUUCAGCAUCAUGAUCAGACUAUUACAUUUAGCAAUCAACAGCAUGGGUGCAAAAAAAAAAAAUCUACAUUAAAACCCUUGGUUGGAAUGCUUUACACUUUCCACAGAACAGAAACUAAAUAACCUGUUAUACAAUUAGUCAGAAAUACAGUCCUCGAGUUUUUUUUUGCCCAUUCACAUGAGUAUUGUCUAACACAUGUCUUCUUUGUAGCAGCUAGGCCCUGCCACCACUGUGCUUGGCUGAGUUCACAAAUCUGUUGUAACCUGUAGCUUCCCUGUCACUUCUCUGGCUCUCCUCUCCUGCUAAGCUUUGUUUCCUGGCAGUAAUUAAAACCUUCUGCCACUGCCAUAGCUACUGCUGCUGCUGGAACCGCCAUAGCCACCUUGGUUUCGUGGUUUGGCAAAGUAUUGACCUCCACCACCAUAAGGGCCAGAGCUUCUGCCUCCAAAGUUUCCUCCUUUCAUAGGCCCAAAAUUUGAAGAUUGAUUGUUGUAAUUGCCAAAAUCAUUGUAGCUUCCAC